rnacentral:rRNA from 1 species
UACAUGGGGUGCAAACGUUGCUCGGAAUUAUUGGGCGUAAAGCGCGCGUAGGCGGUUACUUAAGUCGGAUGUGAAAGCCCUCGGCUUAACUGAGGAAGUGCAUCCGAAACUGAGUAGCUAGAGUACGAAAGAGGGUCGCGGAAUUCCCGGUGUAGAGGUGAAAUUCGUAGAUAUCAGGAGGAACACCGGUGGCGAAGGCGGGUCUCUGGGCCGAUACUGACGCUGAGGAGCGAAAGCGUGGGGAGCGAACAGG